UUUAACCAAUUCACAUAGCUGAACCCAAAAAUGCCCACAAUUUGACAUCAAAACAUACCAAUUCAACCUAAUCAAACUCAACCUAUACAAUUAUGCCUUUCAUGUACAACCUAUAGGGACAACUCAUUUGAUCUCUUUAGAUUUAGAGCUCAUCAAGCUUAGAAGGGAACCAGCAGUAACUUAUAUGGUCUCAAGUUGGCCAAUUCGUUUCUACUUCAACACUCCCAAGAAAACGCCCAAGACAUUCGAAGGGCAACUUGAUUGGAAGUCAUCACCGUAACGCGAAGUUGCUCAACUUUAAAAAGCACCCUCAAAAGCUCUCUAAUAAACUGAAACUCCAACCGAAGGAUAUCUCCAUCAACGAAACCGAAGAGCUAGCCCCUCCUCUUUGUUGAGGGAGUGGGCAUAGUCCUACCUCAAUUCCCCUACGACAUGCUCCAAAUCUCUUCGAGGAUGACAGACCAAGAACUAUGUAAAUUUAUAAACAUCAAACAAUUGAAGCCUAGUAUUGUCAUGAUUGAUAGGAUGAUGAAAGAACUCCUGCAGGUGAGGAUCAAAUUGAUCAGGAGAACAGCUAACAAGGCUGCAGACUGGGUUGCUUCCAAAUACAAGGAGGAGGUGAGUUUAAC
rnacentral:lncRNA from 1 species